UAGGGAAUCUUCGGCAAUGGGGGGAACCCUGACCGAGCAACGCCGCGUGAGUGAAGAAGGUUUUCGGAUCGUAAAGCUCUGUUGUUAAGGAAGAACGAGUGUGAGAAUGGAAAGUUCAUACUGUGACGGUACUUAACCAGAAAGGGACGGCUAACUACGUGCCAGCAGCCGCGGUAAUACGUAGGUCCCGAGCGUUGUCCGGAUUUAUUGGGCGUAAAGCGAGCGCAGGCGGUUAGAAAAGUCUGAAGUGAAAGGCAGUGGCUCAACCAUUGUAGGCUUUGGAAACUGUUUAACUUGAGUGCAGAAGAGGAGAGUGGAAUUCCAUGUGUAGCGGUGAAAUGCGUAGAUAUAUGGAGGAACACCAGUGGCGAAGGCGACUCUCUGGUCUGUAACUGACGCUGAGGUUCGAAAGCGUGGGUAGCAAACAGG
rnacentral:rRNA from 1 species